ACCGACCCCGCUCCCGUCUGCGGGAUAGCGCCUGCUCCCGCACCCGGCCGGGGGUCAGCGCCUGAUCCCGCACCUGGCAGCGGGAUAGCGCCUGAUCCCGCACACGGCCGGGGUUUAUCGCCCCCAGCAGUGGCCGGCUGAGUGAGGCCCGCUCCUGUGUGGGGCGCAGCCGUAGGCGGGGAGGAGCCGCUCUCCCGAAAGGAGCGCCUGGCACCAUGGCAAGGACAGCAUCUUUACAACAAGACAGCGCUGCUUUGCCAGCCAGGGCUCUGGCUUGGCUGCUGUCCGCCUGUGCAGAAAAGACUGUCUGAAGACUGGUGAGAAUCAUUAGCAAUUAGUACCUGAAAUAAUUCUGUUAAAGUUUAUCUGAAGAAUUAAACAAAAUUGAAGUUUUCAUAAGAAGUUUUUAUUUCUGCUGUAUGCUCUGAAGCAGCAAGGGGAUACCCGAUUGUGAAGAUCUCUCUAGCAAAGCUUUUAAUCAUCCUUAAA
rnacentral:lncRNA from 1 species